AAAAAAAUUAAAUUAAAUAGUAAAAUUUUUCACUUUAUUGAAGAUCGUUGAGGUCCGAGUUGUUGUUUUAGCUAGUUAGUUGUUUUACAUGUAAAUUUGUGUGAGAAUUUGUUUAAUUAAUUAAUAAUUGGUAGGUGUUCUCAGUAGA
rnacentral:rRNA from 1 species